UAGGGAAUCUUCGGCAAUGGACGGAAGUCUGACCGAGCAACGCCGCGUGAGUGAAGAAGGUUUUCGGACCGUAAAGCUCUGUUGUAAGAGAAGAACGAGUGUGAGAGUGGAAAGUUCACACUGUGACGGUAUCUUACCAGAAAGGGACGGCUAACUACGUGCCAGCAGCCGCGGUAAUACGUAGGUCCCGAGCGUUGUCCGGAUUUAUUGGGCGUAAAGCGAGCGCAGGCGGUUAGAUAAGUCUGAAGUUAAAGGCUGUGGCUUAACCAUAGUACGCUUUGGAAACUAUUUAACUUGAGUGCAAGAGGGGAGAGUGGAAUUCCAUGUGUAGCGGUGAAAUGCGUAGAUAUAUGGAGGAACACCGGUGGCGAAAGCGGCUCUCUGGCUUGUAACUGACGCUGAGGCUCGAAAGCGUAGGGAGCAAACAGGAUUAGAUACCCUGGUAGUCCACGCCGUAAACGAUGAGUGCUAGGUGUUAGACCCUUUCCGGGGUUUAGUGCCGCAGCUAACGCAUUAAGCACUCCGCCUGGGGAGUACGACCGCAAGGUUG
rnacentral:rRNA from 1 species